UACGUAGGGUGCAAGCGUUAAUCGGAAUUACUGGGCGUAAAGCGUGCGCAGGCGGUUCUGUAAGUCUGUCGUGAAAUCCCCGGGCUUAACCUUGGAAUUGCGAUGGAGACUGCAAGGCUAGAAUCUGGCAGAGGGGGGUAGAAUUCCACGUGUAGCAGUGAAAUGCGUAGAGAUGUGGAGGAACACCGAUGGCGAAGGCAGCCCCCUGGGUCAAGAUUGACGCUCAUGCACGAAAGCGUGGGGAGCAAACAGG
rnacentral:rRNA from 1 species